rnacentral:rRNA from 1 species
GACGAACCGUACGAACGUUAUGCGGAAUCACUGGGCUUAAAGGGUGCGUAGGCGGCGCGACAAGUUGGGUGUGAAAUCCCUCGGCUCAACCGAGGAACUGCGCCCAAAACUGUCGUGCUCGAGGGAGACAGAGGUGAGCGGAACUUAGGGUGGAGCGGUGAAAUGCGUUGAUAUCCUAAGGAACACCGGUGGCGAAAGCGGCUCACUGGGUCUCUUCUGACGCUGAGGCACGAAAGCUAGGGUAGCGAACGGG